rnacentral:rRNA from 1 species
GAUGAACGCUAGCGGCAGGCUUAACACAUGCAAGUCGAGGGGUAACAUUGUAGCUUGCUACAGAUGACGACCGGCGCACGGGUGCGUAACGCGUAUACAAUUUGCCUUAUACUGGAGAAUAGCCCUGAGAAAUUGGGGUUAAUGCUCCAUAGCAUUAUCGAUUGGCAUCAAUUGAUAAUUAAAGCUCCGGCGGUAUAAGAUGAGUAUGCGUUCUAUUAGUUAGUUGGUAAGGUAAUGGCUUACCAAGACUCCGAUAGAUAGGGGCCCUGAGAGGGGGAUCCCCCACACUGGUACUGAGACACGGACCAG